GGCCAGUUGAGACCACCAACUCAUCAACUGGGCCUGUGUAGAUGUCCGAUAGGCGACCUUUCUAUAUCAAGAGGCAAAAGACUCCACCCUCAGAUCAGGCUAAUCCCACCAUUUUGUGAGCAUGCGUCCUAUGAAGAGGCAUGGAGUAUGACUACGCUUGCGCAGAUCAUCAAUUACCUCACGGCUCCUCACCUCCAAUCACCUGUCUCCACAUUUCAGACCACCUUGCCGCAACCCAGAAAUAUCCCUGAGUCCCCAUUUUCAGGGAAGUGGAUUUGAGACUCACGCUCUCACUUUCUCACAGACUGCCUUGUGAGUAAACCCUCUCUCUGCUGCAGUCUUGUCGUCUCGGUGUUUGGCUUUCCAGGCCGCAGGCAAAAACGAACUUGGUGUGGUAACAGCUAUGUGAGUGAAGAUUACUCCAGAUAAUUCCAGCCCCCGGAUGCUGAGUUGCUUCAAACUUUCAAGUCUUCCUGGCUGAGACCCUAGACAGGGGUGGAGCAGAGGACAGGCAACUUAGGAGCCUUAAGCCCAGCUCUCCUGAAAUCAACAUGCUAAAGAUACUACACAGAGAGGGCAAGGUUUGACGACUGUUGAUGAUAGAGAAAGGAGCUCAUGGAACUGAAAUUUUUCAAUAUCCUGCAAGGCCUUUCCUUGUCCAACUGAAGAAGAACACGACUUCAGUCAGUGGGUCUCAGCAGGUGCCACAGAAGAAGCACAUGCCAGCUGUGUGUUCUACAGCCUCGAGCUGUUCAAGAGAGUCAGCCAUCUGUCCCUCCACUAUAAGCCAGCAAGAGCACAGUCCUAACUCUUAUCAGAGAGCGCCACAUUUGGAAGAUGGACUUCCUGGGACAUUAAGGACAAACACACACUACGGAGCAGAGUCGCCUAAGCAUAACUCUCGACAGCAUAGAAGCUGAAGCAGCUGAGAUCAGCCCAUGUGAGCGUUUGGCAAUGGUACACCUGGCAGGCAGCAGAGGCAGGAUUCGGAACUGUGGUUCAAAGCAUAUUCAAAUUCCUCUUUGUCAGGUAGCGAAUAACCAUCAUGGACCUCGUACUGUACUAGGCACUGGAGAUGAAGAAGAUCAAAAAGACAGAUGUGAUCCACGCUCUCAUCAAGAUUACAUGCUGACUAGAGGGAGACAGAUGCAAACAAGAUAAUGACACGGUAGUUAUGUGUCAUCUACUGUAUCCUGAGCUGCUGGGGUAAAGAGAAAGAAUUCCUGUCUUCAAGAAAAAUCAGACAAGCUGUUGGGGAGUGCAUUAUACACACAAAGAAAUCAAGAUGUUGUGAUAUGUGCUACAAGGAAGGACUCUUUCUUCAUCUAUCAACAACUCCUCAGAGACUGCCUGGCACCUACAACUAAAAGAAGAAAAUUGGAGUUAAUGGGAUUGAACCUGAAAACAAGCUCUGAUAAUCCAGUUUCAAAAGAGAUAAUGUGGCAGAGUGGAAGAGAAGGAGGGAAGGAAA
rnacentral:lncRNA from 1 species